rnacentral:lncRNA from 1 species
UUCAGAAUUAUACACACACACACACACACACACACACACAUAUAUAUAUAUAUAUUUUAAUGAUUUUAUUUAUUUACUCAAGAGAUAAAAUGGGCACAAGUCAGGGGAGGGGCAAGAGAGGGAGAAGCAGACUCCUCGCUGAGCAGCGAGCCCAAUGUGGGGCUCGAUCCCAGGACCCGGGAUCAUGACCUGAGCCAAAGUCAGAUAUUUCACCGACUGAGCCACCCAGGCGACUCCAGAAUACAAUAUUUUCUCCCUGAAAUAGAGGUCCUAGAAGUUCAGGAUAGAAACUAGAUGUGAUUUUUUUUUUUCAUAGAAACAAUAGGAUUAUGAUUCUAGCCAAGGUCUGACACAAUAUUUAUAAAAAUGAUCAGAAAUGGCAUAGUCACCAACGUGUCAAUGAGAAAAGAUAGCUCCCCCAGCACAGCGUAGAGCUUUCUGAGGCGUCUGUAAAUCAAUCAAGUAGGACAACGCAGUAACCAAUCACAGUAAAACUCUAAAAAUUUUAUGUGAGAGGUCCCCUGGGGCCAGGAGCCGGAGGGCCCAUCUGGCUGAAGGCAGCGCCCAGACACUACAGCUCGGCGGCAGGAUGUUUUCAAGUGGAUUUUCCAGGUCAUCUGUGUUGAACCAUGUCAGUCCAAGGUUGACUGGAGACCACAGCUGUCAGGAUUCCGGGCACCUUUAUGAAAUGUUCUGUCCUCAUCAACGGGCUUUGGAACACUGGGUCACCCCGGAAUCACAAGAGGCCAAGCUUGGAGACCCAGGGCCAUUUUUAAGCUCCCCUUCCCCACCCACCUCCCGUACAACAUUGUCUUCAUGAACCCGACAAACCAGGGCCUUUGUAAAGAAAAGGAAAUCCUAAAGGACACCAACUUGGAGAAAAGAGACCCGUGGCAGCUGCUUCUCUCUGCCCUUUCCACCAAACUCCCCUGGGAUGUCUGUGGGCCUUGGGCUGCUUGCCUUUGUCCCGGUGGCUUGUGCCAUGAAGGGGGUCGGGGGUGGAAAGGUACCUCUGGCAUCCUUCAGGGAAGAACAGCCUAUGGUGUGCAUAUAACCAAGUUCUGCCCCAGCAGUAUCCGGUGUCACAGUGCUGCAUCGAGGUCGUGCCUCAUGCCAUCGCCGGAUCUCAAAGGAGAAGAAUGUGACACGAGAUUCAUUUAUUCAGAGAACUCCAGGUUAGCACAGGGUACACGCAACUUGAACCAGAAGGACUUCGUGGUGUCUCAACCCAAGACGACUCUGGACCCAAGGAAGGGUGUGUCCCUAUGGGGAAAUCAUGACAGAAGAACUCGGUGGGGACUCAGGGGAGAACCAGCUGUUGGGGCAGACACCUCCUGGUAG